CCUGGCGGCCGUAGCGCGGUGGUCCCACCUGACCCCAUGCCGAACUCAGAAGUGAAACGCCGUAGCGCCGAUGGUAGUGUGGGGUCUCCCCAUGCGAGAGUAGGGAACUGCCUGGC
rnacentral:rRNA from 3 species